rnacentral:lncRNA from 1 species
GAGGAAAGAGAUUUCCCUGGGUAGAUCUGAGGGUUUGGACAUCACAAUUCGGCUGGACUUCUUUACCCUUGCCAAUCAACUGUCGUCUUUAGGAAAAGGAAAUCCCAGGCAAGAAUGAGCAACGGCGGGGAGCUUCCUACAUCCUAGCUCCUGGGAAUUCCAUAAGAAACCUUUCCUGCCAGCCCACGAGUCGCCCAGAUCGGAUUAGCUUCUGUGAAGGUCGAAGGCAGUUACGGGAGGGAUUGGGGAGCGCGGCGCUUGGGGGCGCCAGUGGCAGCCGCGGCACCAAGUGCGGACGCGGUGCAGGACACACAAGCUGUCCCAGGCUAGCUCCAGGCUUGGAGAGGUUUGGCCACUUAGCAUCAAGGCUUCCAAAACAAUUUUAAGAUAGUCUCAUCCUUGCUGGGGGGAGGAGGGAGUGGGGGUGGGAGGAGAGUGGGAGAAGUGGGCGAGGGAAGGCGUUGUCCGGAAGUUGUUGCAUUUCUCCUUUUCAGGCACCGGGAAAUCGAGGCUGUGCACGUCGCGAUUUGGAGUUAAAAGAACCCUCAAAAUCCUGGACCAGCAGUGGAAAGGUGUAGAAACAAGAAGGAGAAGCCAGGCACUGCAAGUGGGAAGUCAUGGAAGAUGGCAGGGAGCUGCGAGAAGGCCCAGGAUUGGAAUCCACCAUAGCUACCCUGAGGGAGGUGAUGCAGAAGAUGGGAGAUACAUCUCAUUCUGUCCUAGUUUACAUUUGUUUUGUUGUCUGUAUUGUCUGUACAUAUCUGGUA